AUGCUGUUUUAUUUUCUUUCUUUUAUUUUUAUAUCUAAUAAUAAAAUGGUAAUUAGUGAGCACAUAACUGUCCAUGACUUUUACAACUAACAUUUUUUUUUUUUGGAUUAUGUCACCAUUAUGAUUGUAGUAUUUAACUGACAUUACAACUCAGUAAAAGAGUAAUAUAGAUUUUCAACAUCAUUCUGUUAUAUUGCCAUAAAAGCAUUUCACUGAGCUAGAAAUUACAGACUUUGAAAUCAAAACAUGCCUGGCUUCAGAUGUUUGCUCUGUUACACACUGCAUUGCCUGAAAGAGCCUUAGUUUCCUCAUCUGGAACAACCAGCGCCUAGAAGCAUCCUUGCCUGAAAUUAGAACAGAGUGUACUUUGGGGAUUAAAUUUAAAAAUCACACGAAGAACCACCUGCCCCGCCAUGAGGCACACUGCCUAGCACAUAGCAAAUCCCUAAUCAGCGUCUGAUGGAUAAAUAACUGGUGCUCAAUUAAUGCUUUUUCUCUCUUCCUCACUGACCCAGAGUUCUUAAGACAGGGAGCCAUUUGGCUGUAGCAGAACCUGCCAGAUAAAGAACCGCAUUUUCCCUUUUUCUCUCUGCCUUUGCAGAGGUGGAGGGAUCUCUCCCCCUGUCAGAGAGGUUCGGUGAGAGGACAAAUGGGAACUGUAUUCUCUAUUUUACAGCCCUCAGCCUAUUCGAGCUGGGCCGGGUGAAAAUACAGCGCGGUUUCCGGGGCUUUGGCUCUUUUGUUGGACUCUGGAGGGAAGAGAUGAGUUUUACAUCUGUUGCUGGCAGUGGAACCUUCAGCUGAGGCGUUGUCGCUCUACUUCCAGUCCUGGACCUCGGGGGUCCUGGCUGUCGGUCACAGCUCUUCCUCCGGAGGCGCGGUCCGCUCCGGAGGCUCCCAGUGGAGACGCUGGUUGUGGCAGUGGUGAGAGAGCAAGCAGCUGAUUGAAGAGGCCAAAACGCAGAAACUGAAGCCCCCACAUCUCCAGUCCUCACAUCUCCAGUGCACUCGAACGGCAUGAUAAAAUCUGGAAGGCUGAGCUCAGUAGACGUAAGGUGUCACUCCUCGGGGCCUGGCAGGGGCCGCUCACCAGCCGGACUGCACUAGACCCAGAGCACAGCCACUGGUCCAGCCUUCGGGAAAGAAAAAUGGACCACAGUAGCAACCCUCUAGCAGCAGCUUCCAAAGCCGCCCCUGCAGAAGGGAUCCUCCUGCAUGGAGAAACAAGGAUAAGAACUGUUCAGGAGGAGCCGGGGCAGUGGGUAUUCGGCCUUGGGUGGAGCUGCGCGGCGGAUGUUGACAGCUCCAGCGCUCCCAGUGUGCAGCAGUGGGAUUAGAAAUCCUUCUCCCAGCCAAGACUGCUUCCAACAGCUGGAGUCACGCCCCCUCCCCGCCUCCCACCUCUGCUCCAUUUCUUGCUGGAGACCAUCUGAAAGGGGAGUUUAAAAUGACUCAGUGUCUUUGGGGUAAAGAGCUUUGGCUUUUGCAGACUGAACCGCCAGAGACCUUCAGGAAAUUAAAGAAAGAAAGAAAAAGUGA
ensembl:lncRNA